rnacentral:rRNA from 1 species
UACGUAGGAAGCGAGCGUUGUCCGGAAUCACUGGGCGUAAAGCGCGUGUAGGCGGUACGGCAAGUCUGCUGUGAAAGCGCCCGGCUUAACCGGGCGAGGUCGGCGGAAACUGCUGAACUGGAGGACGGUAGAGGGGGGUGGAAUUCCCGGUGUAGUGGUGAAAUGCGUAGAGAUCGGGAGGAACACCUGUGGCGAAGGCGGCCCCCUGGGCCGGACCUGACGCUGAGACGCGAAAGCAUGGGGAGCGAACAGG